rnacentral:rRNA from 1 species
UACAGAGGUCCCGAGUGUUGUUCGGAUUCACUGGGCGUAAAGGGUGCGUAGGUGGCUUGAAAAGUUUGAUGUGAAAGCUCAGGGCUUAACCCUGAAAUGGCAUUGAAUACUGUCGAGCUGGAGGUUUGGAGGGGGGACUGGAAUUCUUGGUGUAGCAGUGAAAUGCGUAGAUAUCAAGAGGAACACCAGUGGCGAAGGCGAGUCCCUGGACAACACCUGACACUGAGGCACGAAAGCUAGGGGAGCAAACAGG